rnacentral:lncRNA from 1 species
UUGUUCACAUAUGGAGCCAAAUCUCGUUAUCAGAAUAAUUUUAACUAUCCAUGAAUUAUGUCAGAUGAUCAUAGCAAGGUUGGUUUGGAACUCUCCUUCUAGGGCCACAUAAUGCUGACAUGGGAUCCUUGGAUAUGCAAUACCAACUCAAAGCUUCUAGUUGCACAAUGUUGGCCUAGGAUCCCUCCAAGGGUCAAUUGAUCUACAAGGUGUUGGGUCUUUUCCUCGGGUCCAUCCAGGCAUCUAGAGAGAGAAUAGAGAAAGUAGGGAGAGAGAAAGAUCCCCAAAGAGAGAGCAAGAGAGGAGAGAGAAGGCAAGAGAGAGAGAGAAACUUACGGUUCUCUUCUCAAAAGAGAGGAAUGAAGAGGGCUCUAAGGCCGAUCAUACCCUUGGCGGCAGCGGCAGCAGCAAUGGCCCUCGGCAACCAAAAUAUGGCCAUGUUCGGCAAUGGCGACUAGCCCGACGGAAGAAGAAAAGAAAAAAAAUAGGGGAGAGGAAAUAGGGCAUCCAAAUCUAGUGGUGACUCUUCGGUAGCAAUCGGGUCGAUGAAGCCGUCGAUGACAACCGAGUGACUCAAAGAUGGGUAUGGAAGAGGGAUUAGGGUGGAUUAUCUUGUUUCUGAUAAUGAAUCGAUGGUGACUCAUUGAGAAUGAUCAACAUAAACCAAAGGAAAACUCGAGGUACUUUGCCGACAGUUGAUCAGAGUUUGGGCGAGGUGAUUAGAGCGAAGAGGGGUCCUUUUAUAGGCUAAGUCUAGGGCUCCGACGAGCUCUAAGCUUUCCAGCGUCUGACGGAGUCAGGGAAGAAGACGGACUCCUUCUAGGAAUCCGCUUCUUUCUUCUCACUUGCGAGCCACAUGACAUACAGGUUUUUUUUUGUUUGUCUCAUGCUAAAAUUCAUGCUAGCUUAUGGGCUGAUCAAUGGACCGGGCCUUACACCUUUGAAUAGCCCCAUACAAAUCUUGCUGUUCAUGGCCUCACACUCAUCUUUGGACUCUCACAGUCAG